GACGAACGCUGGCGGCGUGCUUAACACAUGCAAGUCGAACGGUGAAGCGCCUUCCUUUUUGGUGGGUGUGGAUGAGUGGCGAACGGGUGAGUAACACGUGAGUAACCUGCCCCCUUCUUCUGGAUAACCGCAUGAAAGUGUUGCUAAUACGGGAUAUUCUGGGUCUGUCGCAUGAUGGGUCUGGGAAAGAUAUUGUUUCGGUGGGGGAUGGGCUCGCGGCCUAUCAGCUUGUUGGUGGGGUGAUGGCCUACCAAGGCGGUGACGGGUAGCCGGCCUGAGAGGGUGGACGGUACAACUGGGACUGAGACACGGCCCAGACUCCUACGGGAGGCAGCAGUGGGGAAUAUUGCACAAUGGGCGCAAGCCUGAUGCAGCGACGCCGCGUGAGGGAUGGAGGCCUUCGGGUUGUGAACCUCUUUCGCCAGUGAAGCAGGCCUGCCUCGUUUGUGGGUGGGUUGACGGUAGCUGGAGAAGAAGCGCCGGCUAACUACGUG
rnacentral:rRNA from 1 species